rnacentral:rRNA from 1 species
UGAGGGAUAUUGGUCAAUGGGCGCAAGCCUGAACCAGCGACGCCGCGUGGGUGAAGAAGGUCUUCGGAUCGUAAAGCCCUUUUCCCACUGAAGAGGAAGGUCGGUAGGUGGGGAAGAAGUCUCGGCUAACUACGUGCCAGCAGCCGCGGUAAAACGUAGGAGACAAGCGUUAUCCGGAGUUACUGGGCGUAAAGGGCGUGCAGGUGGCGUCUUAAGUCUGUUGUGAAAGCGCCUGGCUUAACCGGGCGAGGCCAAUGGAGACUGAGAGGCUGGAGGACGGCGGAGNGGUGUGGAAUUCCGGGUGUAGUGGUGAAAUGCGUAGAGAUCCGGAGGAACACCAGAGGCGAAGGCGGCACUCUAAGCCGUACCUGACACUGAGACGCGACAGCACGGGGAGCAAACG